GGUUGAGGUGAUGGGCGUGAUAGGUAUAGAAGAAUCACUCGUGUCGUUAACAAUAACAUUUUAUUUGCUUAUGUCUGUGGUAUACACUAGCGCGCCGAAAGCACGGAUACGGAAUCAUCGGAUUCGUUAAGGAAAGCGUUAGUUCAAAGGGUGAGGGAAAUGGACGUCGCUGUUAAUUGGCUAAAUCGUGAGUUGGUGGUUGGAAAGAGAUGGCAACUGCCCUUGAGAGAAAGUUGCUAGCGAGGAGCGUCGUACGUGAGGAAAAACAGAUUUCCGUAGUGGGUGGUAUGUGUAGGGACUAUUGAGACAAAGACUAUCUGUUCCUUUAGAGAAUCUUAGCUGCAUGGAUCCUAAGAUUUAUAGCGGGUCCUUAGGCUCGCUGUAAAUAUUCGGAGAGAGUGUAUCGACAUCUGGCAAUCAUCUGUUCGCAAGGUAGAGUCCUUGUGUAGCGAGGCACGGGACAGAAACCGUUGGGAAGUUUGCUGUCGAGUGCCGCUACAU
rnacentral:misc_RNA from 1 species